rnacentral:rRNA from 1 species
GACGAACGCUGGCGGCAUGCCUAAUACAUGCAAGUCGAGCGAACAGAUGAAGUGCUUGCACUUCUGACGUUAGCGGCGAACGGGUGAGUAACACGUAAGGAAUCUACCUAUAAGCGGGGGAUAACAUUCGGAAACGGGUGCUAAUACCGCAUAAUAUCUUCUUCCGCAUGGAAGAAGAUUGAAAGACGGCUCUGCUGUCACUUAUAGAUGACCUUGCGGUGCAUUAGUUAGUUGGUGGGGUAACGGCCUACCAAGACGAUGAUGCAUAGCCGACCUGAGAGGGUGAUCGGCCACAUUGGGACUGAGACACGGCCCAAACUCCUACGGGAGGCAGCAGUAGGGAAUCUUCCGCAAUGGGCGAAAGCCUGACGGAGCAAUGCCGCGUGAGUGAAGAAGGCCUUCGGGUCGUAAAACUCUGUUAUAAGAGAAGAACAAAUUGUAGAGUAACUGCUACAGUCUUGACGGUAUCUUAUCAGAAAGCCACGGCUAACUACGUGCCAGCAGCCGCAGUAA